GCCCUCUUUCCAUCAUGGCUGUAAAUAAAGACUGUUAACAAUCAAUGUGGCUUAUCGUCAGUGAUUACAAUCUAUCACAGUUACGCUAGGUGCCAGUCCUUACCCCGGGUUGUCUGCCCAUGACGCCUUCAAGUUUGUUAGUGCUGGCAAGAAAAUGGAGAAACCUCAGCACUGCAGUUCUGACAUAUACGAGCUCAUGUGCAGCUGCUGGCCCUUCCUCCCAGAGAACCGUCCAACGUUUGAUGCCCUGUAACGCAGGUUCGAGACUCUGCUGGAAAAAGAAAAAGAUUACAUCAAUCUGGAACUAUUCCAGAGCGAACAGUACGCUUGUCUGGAUGCGGACAUAUUGGAUGAGAAGAUAUAGGACAUAAAUGAGAAGAUAUAGGGCAUAAAGCUGGUUGGAUUAGAAGAUAUAGGACAUAAAGCUGGUUGUAUGAGAAUAUGACAUAAAUGAGAAGAUAUAGGGCAUAAAGCUGGUUGGAUUUGAAGAUAUAGGACAUAAAGCUGGUUGGAUUAGAAGAUAUAGGACAUAAAUGAGAAGUUAUAGGACAUAAAGCUGGUUGAUUGAGAAGUUAUAGGACAUAAAGCUGGUUGAUUGAAAAGUUAUAGGAUAUAAUUUAUAAAGCUGGU